UCAAGUGUCUAUAAGAGCAUUUAGUGGAUGCCUUGGCACAGAGAGGCGAUGAAGGACGUGAUACACUGCGAUAAGCCAUGGGGAGUUGUGAAUAAGCUUUGAUCCGUGGAUUUCCGAAUGGGGAAACCCAAACCAAUAGGUUUAUCCCGCAAGGGAGGCAAACCCAGUGAACUGAAAUAUCUAAGUAACUGGAGGAAAGGACAUCAACCGAGACUCCGUUAGUAGUGACGAGCGAAAGCGGACCAGGCCAGUGGCUGUUUUAGGAAAAACCAGAAUAACUUGGGAAAGUUAGCCAUAGUGGGUGAUAGCCCCGUAUGGGUAAAUUCCUUUUACAGUCCUCGAGUAGGGCGGGACACGUGAAAUCCUGCUUGAACAUGGGGGGACCACCCUCCAAGCCUAAGUACUACUCUGUGACCGAUAGUGAACAAGUACCGUGAGGGAAAGGUGAAAAGAACCCCGAUGAGGGGAGUGAAACAGACCUGAAACUGAAUGCUUACAAGCAGUUGGAGCAACAUUAAGUUGUGACAGCGUACCUUUUGUAUAAUGGGUCAGCGAGUUAAUUUAUUGAGCAAGCUUAAGCCGUUAGGUGUAGGCGAAGCGAAAGCAAGUCUGAAUAGGGCGUUUAGUUCAAUGGAUUAGACCCGAAACCGGGUGAUCUAGCUAUGAGCAGGUUGAAGGUAAGGUAACACUUACUGGAGGACCGAACCCACGCAUGUUGAAAAAUGCGGGGAUGACUUGUNGCUAGGGGUGAAAGGCCAAUCAAACCCGGAGAUAGCUGGUUCUCCGCGAAAACUAUUUAGGUAGUGCGUUAUGUAUUACUNNUGGGGGUAGAGCACUAGAUGGGCUAGGGGGGCGCGAGCCUUACCAAACCUAACUAAACUCCGAAUACCANUAAGUANAGCAUAGCAGACAGUCCAUGGGUGCUAAGGUCCUUGGACGAGAGGGAAAGAGCCCAGACCACCAGCUAAGGUCCCUAAAUUGUGGCUAAGUGGGAAAGGAUGUGGAAAGACCAAGACAGCCAGGAGGUUGGCUUAGAAGCAGCCAUCCUUUAAAGAAAGCGUAACAGCUCACUGGUCUAAAUAAGCCGGUCUGCGCCGAAGAUGUAACGGGGCUAAAGCCAUAUACCGAAGCUGUGGAUGCCGUAAGGCAUGGUAGCGGAGCGUUCUGUANANCCGUUGAAGGNAANANGNGANUNUUGNUGGAGNUAUCAGAAGUGAGAAUGCUGACAUGAGUAGCGAUAAAGAGUGUGAGAAACACUCUCGCCGNAAGCCUAAGGGUUCCUGCGCAAGGUUAAUCCGCGCAGGGUUAGUCGGCCCCUAAGAUGAGGGCGAAAGCCGUAGUCGAUGGGAAUACGGUAAAUAUUCCGUAACCUGAUGGAAGUGACGAAUNNUNAAGAUUGUAAANNCUUAUUGGAUUGNNUUUGCAGUUAANNUGUUCCAGGAAAUAGCUCCAUCANNAAGACCGUACCCGAAACCGACACAGGUAGGCAGGUAGAGAAUACCAAGGCGCUUGAGAGAAUGGUGUUGAAGGAACUCGGCAAAAUGCCCCNGUAACUUNGGGAGAAGGGGGACCUAUGCUGGGCAACCAGUGCUAGGUGGCACAAANNNGGGGGUAGCGACUGUUUAUUAAAAACACAGGACUCUGCUAAGUGGUAACACGANGUAUAGGGUCUGACGCCUGCCCGGUGCCGGAAGGUUAAGAGGAGGUGUGCAAGCGCCGAAUUGAAGCCCCGGUAAACGGCGGCCGUAACUAUAACGGUCCUAAGGUAGCGAAAUUCCUUGUCGGGUAAGUUCCGACCUGCACGAAUGGCGUAAC
rnacentral:rRNA from 1 species